UACCGGCAGCUCAAGUGAUGACCGAUUUUAUUGGGCCUAAAGCGUCCGUAGCCGGCCUCAAAGGUCCAUCGGGAAAUCCGCCAGCUCAACUGGCGGGCGUCCGGUGGAAACCAUGUGGCUUGGGAUCGGAAGGCUCGAGGGGUACGUCCGGGGUAGGAGUGAAAUCCUGUAAUCCUGGACGGACCACCGAUGGCGAAAGCACCUCGAGAAGACGUAUCCGACGGUGAGGGACGAAAGCUAGGGUCUCGAACCGGAUUAGAUACCCGGGUAGUCCUAGCCGUAAACGAUGCUCGCUAGGUGUGGCACAGGCUACGCGCCUGUGCUGUGCCGUAGGGAAGCCGAGAAGCGAGCCGCCUGGGAAGUACGUCCGCAAGGAUGAAACUUAAGGAAUUGGCGGGGGAGCACUACAACCGGAGGAGCCUGCGGUUU
rnacentral:rRNA from 1 species